rnacentral:rRNA from 1 species
UGGCUCAGGAUGAACGCUGGCGGUAUGCUUAACACAUGCAAGUCGAACGGGAUGCUUAGGCAUCUAGUGGCGGACGGGUGAGUAACGCGUGAGAAUCUGGCUCCAGGUCGGGGAUAACAGUUGGAAACGACUGCUAAUACCGGAUGUGCCGAGAGGUGAAAGAUUUAUUGCCUGGAGAUGAGCUCGCGUCUGAUUAGCUAGUUGGUGGUGUAAGGGACCACCAAGGCGUCGAUCAGUAGCUGGUCUGAGAGGAUGAUCAGCCACACUGGGACUGAGACACGGCCCAGACUCCUACGGGAGGCAGCAGUGGGGAAUUUUCCGCAAUGGGCGAAAGCCUGACGGAGCAAUACCGCGUGAGGGAGGAAGGCUCUUGGGUCGUAAACCUCUUUUCUCAAGGAAGAAGAAAGUGACGGUACUUGAGGAAUAAGCAUCGGCUAACUCCGUGCCAGCAGCCGCGGUAAUACGGAGGAUGCAAGCGUUAUCCGGAAUGAUUGGGCGUAAAGGGUCUGCAGGUGGAACUGAAAGUCUGCUGUUAAAGAGUUUGGCUUAACCAAAUAAAAGCGGUGGAAACUACAGAACUAGAGUGCGGUAGGGGCAAAAGGAAUUCCUGGUGUAGCGGUGAAAUGCGUAGAUAUCAGGAAGAACACCGGUGGCGAAAGCGUUUUGCUAGACCGUAACUGACACUGAGGGACGAAAGCUAGGGGAGCGAAUGGGAUUAGAUACCCCAGUAGUCCUAGCCGUAAACGAUGGAUACUAGGCGUGGCUUGUAUCGACCCGAGCCGUGCCGGAGCUAACGCGUUAAGUAUCCCGCCUGGGGAGUACGCACGCAAGUGUGAAACUCAAAGGAAUUGACGGGGGCCCGCACAAGCGGUGGAGUAUGUGGUUUAAUUCGAUGCAACGCGAAGAACCUUACCAAGACUUGACAUCCUGCGAAUCCCGGUGAAAGCUGGUAGUGCCUUAGGGAGCGCAAGACAGGUGGUGCAUGGCUGUCGUCAGCUCGUGUCGUGAGAUGUUGGGUUAAGUCCCGCAACGAGCGCAACCCUCGUUUUUAGUUGCCAGCAUUAAGUUGGGCACUCUAGAGAGACUGCCGGUGACAAACCGGAGGAAGGUGAGGAUGACGUCAAGUCAGCAUGCCCCUUACGUCUUGGGCUACACACGUACUACAAUGCUACGGACAGAGGGCAGCAAGCCAGGGAUGGCAAGCGAAUCCAGAAACCGUAGCUCAGUUCAGAUCGAAGGCUGCAACUCGCCUUCGUGAAGGAGAAUCGCUAGUAAUUGCAGGUCAGCAUACUGCAGUGAAUUCGUUCCCGGGCCUUGUACACACCGCCCGUCACACCAUGGAAGUUGGUCACGCCCGAAGUCAUUACCCCAACCGAAAGGAGGGGGAUGCCUAAGGUAGGACUGGUGACUGGUGUGAAGUCGUAACAAGGUAGCCGUA